rnacentral:rRNA from 1 species
GACGAACGCUGGCGGCGUGCUUAACACAUGCAAGUCGAACGGAAAGGCCCUGCUUUUGUGGGGUGCUCGAGUGGCGAACGGGUGAGUAACACGUGAGUAACCUGCCCUUGACUUUGGGAUAACUUCAGGAAACUGGGGCUAAUACCGGAUAGGAGCUCCUGCUGCAUGGUGGGGGUUGGAAAGUUUCGGCGGUUGGGGAUGGGCUCGCGGCUUAUCAGCUUGUUGGUGGGGUAGUGGCUUACCAAGGCUUUGACGGGUAGCCGGCCUGAGAGGGUGACCGGCCACAUUGGGGCUGAGAUACGGCCCAGACUCCUACGGGAGGCAGCAGUGGGGAAUAUUGCACAAUGGGCGGAAGCCUGAUGCAGCAACGCCGCGUGCGGGAUGACGGCCUUCGGGUUGUAAACCGCUUUCGCCUGUGACGAAGCGUGAGUGACGGUAAUGGGUAAAGAAGCACCGGCUAACUACGUG